rnacentral:miRNA from 1 species
CAGUGGUGUUCUUGUCAGGGUUGAUCAGUGGUGCCCCGAAGAGAGGUUUUCUGGGUUUCCGUUUCUUUAACAAGGAUGAAACACACCCAGUGAACCUCUUUUCCUGCAUCAGUCCCCCCUUGGA